UUUACCUUGAAAUGGAACAGAUCUUCGCUUAUCUCUAAUGUCUUUAAAGUCUCAAAAAAAAAAAAAAAAAGUGCAUAGAUAAUCCUUUCCUUCCUUCCUCACAACUUUUCCUUGGAAGCAAGGAGGGCAAAAGGAGCCAAAAGGGGUGUGUGUGUGUGUGUGUGUGUGUGUGCGCACGUGCAGUAGGCAGGAGAAAGGAGGUUAGAGAGGACAAUGAAGACCAGCUUCUCUUUAUAAUUUCACUCCUCAGGUCAUUCCAUGUGACCUCUUCCUGAGUAUCUUAGAUAUGGGUCAAGGAAAGAUGGUAUGAAGGGUUCCCAGGUUCUAAGAAAUUAUUAACUUUAGUAAAGCAGAAUCCUUCAGAAAACCACUGAGUUCCCACUGUGGGGGAAGAGAAUACUCCGUAGAAUUUUCCUUUUUGUUGUGGUUGUUUUCCAAGGCUGACAUCCUCGUACGAUAUUUACAGGCUAUAUUAUGUUUCUGUGCAAAAUUGAAGGAUUUCAAAGUGUUCCAGCAACAAAACGUAAGAAAUUGCAGGACACAUAAAUUUCAAGCAUUUUCUACCUACAUCAGCAACAUCGUUUUAGCAAAAUACAGACCGGGUAUUCAAGUGCCAAGGCAGAAAAAAGGUAAAUCGCAAACCAGAAUUCAAAUAAGGGGUGUUUGUGGAUAAUCAAACUAAUUAUUGGGAGAUGCCAUUCUGGCUUAAUAAGAUGCCUGUUAUGACCUAAAUGAAGGCGGGUGAAGCUGGAAAUAGAAAGGAAAGGGUGCCAAGUUUAAAAUCGAGGAUCCAAUUUUUAAAAGUACUAUUUUGAGCAAAUGUAUCUUUCAUCAGUCAGCCUUGAAGCUGUGACGAAGAUAUGGGCCAAACACUUUGUGAAUCAUGAGGAGAAAAACAAGAGGAAUAAACUUAGUUCCUGCCCUCA
rnacentral:lncRNA from 12 species